UACGGAGGGUGCAAGCGUUAAUCGGAAUUACUGGGCGUAAAGCGGGCGUAGGCGGCGUGCUAAGCCGGUUGCGAAAGCCUCGGGCUCAACCUGGGAACGGCAUCCGGAACUGUCAGGCUAGAGUGCAGGAGAGGAAGGUAUAAUUCCCGGUGUAGCGGUGAAAUGCGUAGAGAUCGGGAGGAAUACAAGUGGCGAAGGCGGCCUUCUGGACUGACACUGACGCUGAGGUGCGAAAGCGUGGGUAGCAAACAGG
rnacentral:misc_RNA from 1 species